AGAGUGAACGCUGGCGGUAGGCCUAACACAUGCAAGUCGAACGGCAGCACAGUGGUAGCAAUACCAUGGGUGGCGAGUGGCGGACGGGUGAGGAAUACAUCGGAAUCUACCUUUUCGUGGGGGAUAACGUAGGGAAACUUACGCUAAUACCGCAUAAGACCUUCGGGUGAAAGCCGGGGACCUUCGGGCCUGGCGCGGAUAGAUGAGCCGAUGUCGGAUUAGCUUGUUGGCGGGGUAAAAGCCCACCAAGGCUACGAUCAGUAGCUGGUCUGAGAGGAUGACCAGCCACAUUGGGACUGAGACACGGCCCAAACUCCUACGGGAGGCAGCAGUGGGAAUCUUGCGCAAUGGGCGAAAGCCUGACGCAGCCAUGCCGCGUGUAUGAUGAAGGUCUUAGGAUUGUAAAAUACUUUCACCGGUGAAGAUAAAUGAC
rnacentral:rRNA from 1 species